rnacentral:sRNA from 1 species
UAACUAGAGAGCCGAUUUUAAUGUUGUC